rnacentral:lncRNA from 1 species
AGCCCAGAAGGCAGUUGUAGAGCACAGAUUCCCUGUCUGAACAGUCCUGAAGGCUCAGAAAUGUCACUUGGGCUCAGUCACUGCAGGCUUGGGACGUUGCUGCAAGGAACCACAGAGUGCUCAGUCUGUCUCACGACUGUGUUCCUUGUGACAGAACAGCAAGCUCUUUCCUGAAGGGAGAGCUGAACAGCGCAGUCCACAAAGGUGGCAUGGGCUUGGACUCCUGCCACCAGCUUAAGUUAUGGGAAAAGGAGCAUGAGACUAAGGCCUUCCGGAAGCUUCCAGAUUUAAACCAACCCCACAGACAUGAGACAAAUCUGCCUAUAGAGAAUUGUAUUAUAGCCAAAUGCCUGUGUAUAUAUUUAUCUGUGCCUGAGAUUCUCAUCUCUUUUUAAAGAAAAAGCCACACACUUG